rnacentral:lncRNA from 1 species
GAAAAUAAACAGUAUUCGGGAAAAGUGAUUCAAAUUACCAAAGAUAAAUCCUCUGUUUUUUCUGGUGAAUGAGAAAAUUAUACUGGCACUAUCACAUUACAACAGAAUUGACAAAAUAACCCAGUUCAAACACGAAAACAAUAAAAAAAAAAGAGAGAAUCAAAACUAUAUACAAUCAAAAUAGAAACAAAUAAACUAGCAAUUCAC